rnacentral:rRNA from 1 species
GAUGAACGCUGGCGGCGUGCCUAAUACAUGCAAGUCGAGCGAACAGACGAGGAGCUUGCUCCUCUGACGUUAGCGGCGGACGGGUGAGUAACACGUGGAUAACCUACCUAUAAGACUGGGAUAACUUCGGGAAACCGGAGCUAAUACCGGAUAAUAUAUUGAACCGCAUGGUUCAAUAGUUAAAGACGGUUUUGCUGUCACUUAUAGAUGGAUCCGCGCCGCAUUAGCUAGUUGGUAAGGUAACGGCUUACCAAGGCAACGAUGCGUAGCCGACCUGAGAGGGUGAUCGGCCACACUGGAACUGAGACACGGUCCAGACUCCUACGGGAGGCAGCAGUAGGGAAUCUUCCGCAAUGGGCGAAAGCAUGACGGAGCAACGCCGCGUGAGUGAUGAAGGUCUUCGGAUCGUAAAACUCUGUUAUUAGGGAAGAACAAAUGUGUAAGUAACUAUGCACGUCUUGACGGUACCUAAUCAGAAAGCCACGGCUAACUACGUG